rnacentral:lncRNA from 1 species
GGAGGGGAAGAGUUUGGCUAAAUGAAGUCAUUUCUCAGAGCAGUAGAUAAAAGGGCAGUGCUAGAACAAAGCAACUUCUGAAAACAAUUACAUAUUUAAAUUCCCUUUACCCUGUGUGGCAGGAAAAUUUUAUCACUUUCUCCUCUGACAUGUUAAAAUACAUAAAACUUUGAUGUCCUUAGGGGCUCUGAUCUCCAGAGAGAAAAAUAAGAGGCCGAAUAUCCAAGAGGGCAUUUUGGCACCAGUGAUGGACACUCCCUCCAUCAGGAAACUUAAGACCAACUCCAUUUGAUCUGAUCAGAGGACGUCUAUAAGGACCAACACAGUGUCACAUUCAAAAGCAUCUUUCUCCCCCUCCAAUCAACCAGUGUCCUGGGGCCUUCUUACCUCUGG